GCAUGCGUAAAGCAGAAUCUGGAGGGAGAUGCCUUACCUCCCCAUGUCUUCACGUGGAGCUUCUUGCCUACAAUGUACAGGAACAAGAAAAUGGUUUGAGAAUACUGAGCGAUGGUGUUGGCCCAAGCAGAACCCCUGGAAAGGAAAUGAGAAAGGCUGUUGGCAUUGUGCUCACAUCUCCCCGGGUGUGGGGUGCUGGAGCCUGAUGUCCGUGGCAGCACCGGCCGUGGCUGGUGAUGUGGUGUCCCCCAAAAUGACCUUUUUGUUUCAUUUUUCCCCCUGCAGGCAUUACUCACACAAUUCCCAGGUGGAACACGUAGAGGAAGACAGAGUUGGCGAUCACAUUGACAACGUUGCCGACGAGCCCGCUCAGCACCACAGGCCACAUGAUCAUCUGCAACAAGGGGUGAACAAGGGCUGCCAUCCGCCAUGGCUGUGGGAAGACCCCACCAGCCCCCCCCUCCCCGCAGCUUUAACAAGAGAGGAAACUUCUGGCAUUGGAGGUCUCAGCCCCCCAUCCCCAUAGCCCAGCCCCACGGCGUGCUCACCGCGAUGGCCAGUGUGACGGAGGCCAGCUCAACCUUGCCCAGGUGGCCGCAGAAGAUGGAGCUGACCAGGUGUAUCAGGAAGAUCAGCAGCUGGAUCAGGAUCUGAGCGUGGGGAGAGGAGAUGCCGAGGUUGGAGACGGAGAUGGGUGGUGGGGACACCCCCGGGUUAGGGCGCGGUGGGGACAGCAGGGCAGCGUUCGGCGGCCCUCGGCUGCUCCCCUCUCCGGGUCCUUACCAGCGGCCCCGCCAGCACCAGCAGCUUCUUUGCAUCCUCCCAGAAGCUGUCUGGGAUCAGGCGCUGCAUCCAGCUGCGUUUCUGCCCGCGGCCAUCAGCUGUCCCCUCGCUGAUGCCGUUCUCCUCGGGCCGCUUCAUUCUGCCGCUCUGCCAGGAGUGAAACGUUCCCUUUCUCCGCGCUCUGUUAAAGCCGCCGGGUGCCACAACCCCGGCAGGGCGAGCAAUGUGUAACCUGGGGGGUGAACUUCAGCCUGCCCGGCUGGGCUGCGUGCGGCCAGCAGCGAUGGGCAGGGCAGGGAGCGGGGCUUUGGGCAGCGCAGGUCCCGUGUCCCACUGCGGAGGAGCCCAGGAGCGCAGCGCGAACUGAUGGAGGAGCUGAGCCUUCCCAAAUCGCCCCUGUGAGCCCUCGUACCCCGCCCUGCUGUGUCCGGUGGGUAAGAGGGUCGUCCUCCUCUUCCAGCAGAGAUGGAGCGUCCGUGGGUCCGUCCGCUGCUGGCGGCUGCCUCUGAGUGUUCUGGGCCGUUCUCAUCCCAGCGCGGCGUUGGCCAAGACAAACCGGCCCCAUUGGCUCCGGCUGUCUGCCCCGCGCGGCGCGGCCGAGUCGGGUUUCAGCAGCGCUGCUCUGCCAGGCCAAAUAUAGCGCCCUGCCUGGGCCCAGCACAGGGUGCUGGCAAUGGCUGGGAGCUGCUGCCCUGGGAGCAGCCCCUGUUCUGCACGGAGCAGAUAGUGGCUCCAUGCCCGUCCUACUCCUCCUGGGCUGUGGUGCCAAACAACAGUGACUGCAAGCAGGGCACAGCCUGUCGCAUCCUCCCACGCCUGGGGACAGCCCACUGAGGCCGUGGUUAAUGCCUGCUGUGAGCUCCUCUAUGAGCCAUGUCACCCACAGGCACCCGGUGCUACGUGCCUUGCGCCGCUGGAGGUGGUGUUUGCAGCUGAGGGCUGAGCACCGUCUGCACGCAGCCUGCAGCAUCACUGCGGCCACACCACCACGGGUAGGAGAGCUCACACAGGGCAGGCAGUGCUGAUAGCACACGUGGGAUCCCCUCGGCAGCACCGCAGGUGGGCACCGCACCACCCUCCCCAGCAGCAGCUGAGGUGCACAAAUCCCUGCCUACUUCUGCAGCCUCGAACCCAAAGGCCAGGAGUUCGAGGCCGUGUUUAAGGUUAUUCUCAGGAGAAUUGGUCAUGCACACAAACCAGCACACGCCUCCCCUCGACCAGCUCGGUCGUGCCAAUGACCGGGGUCACGUUCACACCCUGUUAACAGCACAACAUUUACUCAGAAAACUUUUAUUGUAUCAAAAUCCCACCUUACAAAAGUGCAAAGAAGAGUUGCUCUAGGCUCUGUGCCUGUCAUGCAGGGCCGGUGCCCUGGCACAGCAGUCAGCCCUCCUCCAACACAGCGGGCCUUGCACAGCAUUGGGCUCCGAUAUUCUGAGGUGCUGGUGUGCAAUGGACCUCUGCCGUUAGCAAAUGGUUUGGACAA